rnacentral:rRNA from 1 species
UGGGGAAUCUUGCACAAUGGGCGAAAGCCUGAUGCAGCGACGCCGCGUGGGGGAUGAAGCUUCUCGGAGUGUAAACCCCUUUCGACCCGGACGAAUACCUCGCAAGAGGGGUGACGGUACGGGUAUAAGAAGCCCCGGCUAACUACGUGCCAGCAGCCGCGGUAAGACGUGGGGGGCCAGCGUUGUUCGGAAUUACUGGGUGUAAAGGGUUCGUAGGCGGUGUGGCAAGUCGGGAGUGAAAUCUCUAGGCUCAACCUAGAGUCUGCUUCCGAAACUGCUGUGCUUGAGUGUGGGAGAGGCGCGUGGAAUUGCAGGUGUAGCGGUGAAAUGCGUAGACAUCUGCAGGAACACCCGUGGCGAAAGCGGCGCGCUGGACCACUACUGACGCUGAGGAACGAAAGCUAGGGGAGCGAACAGGAUUAGAUACCCUGGUAGUCCUAGCCCUAAACGAUCAGGACUUGGGGUGCCACCCGUUCGGGUGUCGUCCCGGAGCUAACGCGUUAAGUCCUGCACCUGGGGAGUACGGUCGCAAGACUG